GAUAGUUUUAAUAAAUAAUAAAUAGUAAAUAAAUAAUAAAAAAUAGUUUUAAUAAAUAGAAAUGAUAGAUAUAACAGGAGAUUCCUCAGCUUAAAGUGAUCUAUUUCAUAGAGUUUAUUAAACAUUUUAUUUUCUGUGUAUAACAGGUUUAAAUUUCUGUUUCGCUGUUGAGGUUUAACUUUGUUCUGCUGCAGUUUCACCCUGACUGCUUUCACUUCUGACUUGUGGUGAGGAAAUGUGUUUAGGAAAUGAUGCUGGUGGUGCCAAACAAGGCAGUUGAUGAAAUCAGCACCUGCUCAGUUCUAGAAAAACCUGUUUCUAGACAGUGUGGACACUGUGUGUGCUUAGAAAAAAGUAAUAAUUUUAGAUCUAGAGAGGGCUGCUGUUGUGGUGACGCAGACAAGAAAUAGAGUGUUUCCUAGUCAGGACCAUCCCUAUGUGGAACUCUGUGCUGAUGGUGAUUGUCAGAGCGUUUUAAGGCAACGCUUCAGGAGAAUGCAUGCGGCACUUGGGCUCAGCUGAUCCCUCAUAGGAAGCAGGAAAUACAGUAGGAAGGAAUAGGAGAAGUAUAGGAGGGUAGAAAGGAAAAGAAAGGACAGAAGGACAGGAUAGAUGGGGAGGGUUUUAUGAGAAACGAAACAAUUAUGCAAGUGGAGAGUGGAAGUAUUUUUAGGCAAUUAGCAGGGGAAGGUGCACAUUAGGGCCGUGGUCCUGCUCCUGACCCUCCGAUGUUCAUCUUCAUUAGAAUAAACACAGUUGUAAUGUGACUAAAAGGUUUACCUUGGUUUUAGUGGCACCUUCUUCCAGCUCACCUUCUAACGAUUCAUGUACAAAAAAGACUGGAUCAGUAGAGAUAUAAACAUUCAGUGUGCUAACAAUACUUAUUUUUGGAAUGUUUAUAUUGUCAGACUUUUAAAUUCCCUUUGUCAUCUGUCACAGAUGGUGUUACAGCUCCAGACUCUCCUUCUCCCUCAGUGUUAUCUUAGUUCUCCAUCUCAUCAGCUCUUCACCUUUACACAGUCAUAAGAUGAAGUCAUUCAAACAAAUAAAAUAAGUACAUUUUAAUAAAAAUGAUUACAUAAAACAUUUUGGAAAACAUCCUGAAAAUGUUACUGCAAGUAAACUGUUGCAAAUAUUGAAAUUUAAAAACAGUUUUUCCAUUUUCUCCUCUUCUUCAGCCAGACCUCAGGCCUGUGACAAACUUCAUGGGUCCAUUUGAAACAGGUCCAUGUUUAUUUGGAGGCUUUUACCAUAAAAUGUAAGUACGUUUUGAGUUUAUUUUCAAAUAUAAUUUCAAAGUCAGCAAACAUGACAUAUUUUUUUAAAUGUAGAAUGAAAGAGGAGGGAAAUGAAAGAGUCUCUUCCACACAAGUCAGAACAAAGAAGGCAACAGGAAUUAUCUCAAUGUGAAAGUGAGGUUUUGGUUUGAACAGCUAAAAACUGCAUGUACAGAUUCUCUAAGGUUUUUCCAAACACAAUAGAAAGUUUGUAUAAACUCACCUCUGCUCUGCUUCGUCUGCGAAGGUGUGGCUCCUUUGUUUUGUCUUAUAUAACAAGAUCAAGGAUAUAGGUGUGGUUCCUGGUGUGCUCAUCACAAAGCUGCAGCCACGUUAUUUUGAAGUCAGUGACAACAAAAGUCACUACAGGUGGAUGUUGUACUGGAGCAGAUCCCUGACACUGGGCAGGCGGUGGAGGACACAUGGACAGGUUGCUAGUCUGUCACAGAGCUGACACAAAGAGACAGAGAACCACCCUGGAGGAAACCACACAGACAUGGGGAAACCAUGACAUAGAACUUUCCUGCUUUCACUUCUCCUUUUGUAGAACAUGCAAGCUCCACACAGAAAGGCUGCACAACAAUUGGAUGUAAAAAGGAAGCUGUUUACAAUCAAGUUUCCUGAAAUCCCUGUGCCAAAGAUGUCUCCAGCCUCCUGCCUCGAUGACUAUUCCCCUGUCACACACAUCCACCAUCUAAAGAUGACACCUUGCUAUCAGCCUGCAUCUGGCCCUCACUCACCUGGACAACAAGGACACCUACGUUCAAAUGCUGUUCAAAUGUAUUAUAACAAAGUGGAAGGGAUUGGGAAUGACAGCAACUCAGCCACGAAAUGGUAGGCCACCUAAAAUGCUGAGACACAUAGUGCACAGAGGUCGCCAACUUUCUGCAGAGUCAAUAGCUACAGACCUCCAAACUUCAUAUGGCCUUCAGAUUAUCUCAAGAACAGUGCAUAGAGAGCUUCAUGGAAUGGGGUCCCAUGGUCGAGCAGCUGCAUCCAAGCCUUACAUCAUCACCAAGUGCAAUGCAAAGCGUUGGAUGCAGUGGUGUAAAGUACGGCAUCACUGGACUCUAGAGGAGUGGAGAUGAGUUCUCUGGACUGAUGAAUCAUGCUUCUGUGUCUGGUAAUCUGAUGGACAAGUCUGGGUUUUUGGGUAGUUGGCUGAUAGAAUGACAAUUAUUUCAAAUGCAGUGCAAUGGAAAUGCAUUCAAAUGUCUUCAAGAAACUCCCAAGCCCUCACCAUUAACACUUAGCAACACACUGAGAAACACAGGAACUAACUGAAUACUCCAAACUCCAAACCUAAGCAUAAUAUAUCAACAUCCUGUAAAUGUAUUGUUUUAUUUGUGUUUAAACAGAAUCCUUACUAUGAUUCUAUAGGGGUAAAAUUCUAUAAUAACUAGCCACAAAUGCAUAUUCAGCAAUUUACAUCUGCAUUUAAGGAGAGGUGGAAAA